GAUGAACGCUGGCGGCGUGCUUAACACAUGCAAGUCGAACGGUGAAGGCGGAGCUUGCUCUGCUGGAUCAGUGGCGAACGGGUGAGUAACACGUGAGCAAUCUGCCCCUGACUCUGGGAUAAGCGCUGGAAACGGCGUCUAAUACUGGAUACGAUCUGCGAAGGCAUCUUCAGCAGCUGGAAAGAAUUUCGGUCAGGGAUGAGCUCGCGGCCUAUCAGCUUGUUGGUGAGGUAAUGGCUCACCAAGGCGUCGACGGGUAGCCGGCCUGAGAGGGUGACCGGCCACACUGGGACUGAGACACGGCCCAGACUCCUACGGGAGGCAGCAGUGGGGAAUAUUGCACAAUGGGCGAAAGCCUGAUGCAGCAACGCCGCGUGAGGGAAGACGGCCUUCGGGUUGUAAACCUCUUUUAGCAGGGAAGAAGCGAAAGUGACGGUACCUGCAGAAAAAGCGCCGGCUAACUACGUG
rnacentral:rRNA from 1 species